rnacentral:other from 1 species
AGUUCCCUGCGGUGCGCGUGGAUCAUGAGCGUUUUUCAUUUGAAUCCAACACUCAAAUUGAACGGGAGCUGAUCGGACGCUGGUGUGCUGCCUCUUCUUAGAGGUUGGUCAAAAGGCGUCCUGAAGAGGUUUCCACCCUACUAGAGGGGAUUCAAUAUGCGCGCGGCAGCACGGCACCUGCGGGGCGCUU